GUAAAUAUAGUUUAAUAAAAACAUUAGAUUGUGAAUCUAAUAAUGGAAGUGCAAGUCUUCUUAUUUACC
rnacentral:tRNA from 6 species